rnacentral:lncRNA from 1 species
UGCUAUCCUCCAGUCGCUAGGGGGAAGCAUUUGCGCUACGGCGCAUGCGCUUUCCUGGCUUCAGGAGGCGUCUUGGCGUUCUUGCUGGCUUCCGCCCCAGGUGAGCUUCCGGCGCGGAGGUCACGGACAAAAUGGUGCCCCCGGUUCAGGUCUCUCCGCUCAUCAAGGUGAAUCCCCUUCACCGUCACUGCGCGGUGCUCACAGCCCUUGUAUGCCCCCUUUCCCUUCCCCUCCCCUGACUUAGCAUUGCCCACCCUCGAGACUGCCGGCUGUGGUCUCCAAGCAAUCCCCGGCCUGCAACCCUUGCACACACACCCGCCCAUUGCUCCCUUUCCCAGUCCUCCUCCAUCUCCGACCCUGCGAUCCCCUUGUCCCACCGGUGUUCCUUCUGCUCUAACGUUUUGUUCUGCAGUUCGGCCGGUACUCCGCUCUGAUCCUCGGCAUGGCAUACGGCGCCAAGCGCUACAGUGAGUUUGGGGAUUGGGAGGGCGGGAUUCCGGGGAGAGACACCUAGCUGUGUGACACUGCUCGGGCCAGCACCUCCUCGGGAGGGAAAUAAUUCUAGGCCAGAGGGGAGCAGGUGGGGACAGCUAUCCGGAGAUUCUGGAGUCGGCUUUUUCACGAAGCAGCAUUUUUAGGGAAGAAGUUAAUUGCUUCCACUCCCCAGGUUACUUAAAACCCCGGGCAGAGGAGGAGAGAAGAAUAGCAGCGGAGGAAAAAAAGAGACUAGAUGAGUUGAAACGGAUUGAGAGAGAACUGGCAGAAGGUAUGGUUUUUAGCCCCUCCCAACACCCACGAGGUUUCUGGAAGUAGCUGCUGUUUAGUGGACCAGGGGCUACCUCAUCCCGUGACGCUUUUGUCCAGUGCUGCCCUCCGUAGAGCCUGUGGAGCAGGGGAAGCACACUACCCUUCUCUUGGGUGGCAUCUGCAAAUUCCCUUUCCUUUCAAGAGGCUACUGCUGAGCAGGCUCUCUGACCCCUCUCUGUUGACUUCCUGUAGAUUCCAGUCAGAUGGAGAAGGCAGUUGGGGAUGCAAGGGAUGGUUUUAGUGAUGAAGUUAGAUUCCCUUGGAAUUAGAUUGUGAAUUGUUUAAGAACUGAAGUCCCCCAUAAGGUGGCCCGAGUCUGUAUGAUGUGUAACAUGGUCUCCUUUCACUUUUCAGCUGAAGAUGUCAGCAUUUUCAAGUGAGGCGGCAGUGAUCUUGCUUUUCUCUUGUCGUUGAGGAUGAAUAAAGCUUCAUUGUGUG